rnacentral:lncRNA from 1 species
CGAAAAAUUUUCAACAUAAAAAGUGUUAUCUAAACCGAACAUGGAAUUAGUUUUCCAUCAGACAACUUCACAUUUGAGAUCGCCAAAUGCUCUAGAGUUAUUGUUCGUUCAUAUACAUCUUCUCUUUGUUUCUCGGGCCUAUAGUGCGUUACAAAUAUAACUCGAAAAGGUCAAAUCUUUGAUGAUUCCAUCGAAUUAAACUAUCUAUUCCAACCGGGAAGAACAAACCAUUCAACAAAGAAAAUUCUGAAAUUGCAUAAGCUUGAUUCGAUCCAGCCUCUAGAGUUGCGACAACCUCUGAAAAGGUAUCCUACGUCUGAACCAAAUUCAUAAUGAUAUUAAAGGAACUAAAUUUUGUCAAGAAAAAAAAUGGGGACACAUUUACUUGAAAUAGUUUUCAAAUAAAUAUUUGAAAAGUUUAGGGGGCAAAUUGUUCAAAAUGCUAAACUUUUAAGGGGUAUCACCUCUUCCAUUUCUCUCAAACACCAUAGUUGAUAAGGCAGGCGGCAACGUUAAAGCUUUGCUCCAAGAAAAUGGCGUCUACUCCAAGCUCUACACUUUCUCCUCUCUAUGAAUCCAAUAUCUUCUGCAACUUCAAUUCUCCCCAAAAAUUCACUUUCCCCCUCAAACUUCACUCCAAAUCUUGUAUCCGAACGACCCAAGUGUCACUUCAAGAACAAUCCCAGGUCUCAAAUCCCAAUAAUUCUCAAUACUCGGAUAGAAAAGUUGUUUCUUCAUCAAAAAGCAAGCUUUGGGUCAACCCCAAAAGCCCCCGAGCUUCUGAGCUGAAGCGAAAGUCUUACGAUUUUAGGUAUGCUUCUCUAAUGAAAGUAGCUGAGUCUUUGGAUUCUUGUAAACCUGUAGAAGAAGAUGUCUUUUAUGUUUUAGUUGAUUUGGGUGACACAAUAGUAGAGCAAGAUGUUGUUGUGACUUUGAAUAACAUGACUAAUGCUGAAACUGCGUUGCUGGCUAUGAAGUAUUUUCAACAAAGGUUGAAAUUGAGCAAAGAGGUGAUUGUAUAUAAUGUGACGUUGAAAGUUUUGAGGAAAAAUAAGGAUUUGGAUAGAGCAGAGAAGUUGUUUGAUGAAAUGCUUGAGAGAGGGGUAAAGCCUGAUAAUGUUACUUUCUCGACUAUUAUUAGUUGUGCUAGGCUGUGUAAUUUGCCUGAAAAAGCUAUUGAAUGGUUUGAAAAGUUGCCAUCUUUUGGGUGUGAACCCGAUGAUGUUACGUAUUCUGUGAUGAUUGAUGCUUAUGGUAAGGCUGGUAAUGUAGACAAAGCACAUGACUUUGUUACCCUAAAUCGAUUAUUUAUCAUUUUCAUCAAUAACCAUAUCAUCACUUUCAUAUUUACUGAAUGUUCCAUCACUACUUUGGUAUUCACGUAAAAAAUCAUGUAAUACAAUGCAAACAACUACUAUAGAGGGUGUUUUUGUAAAAGAUAAAAGUUUAGUGUAAAAUUUCAAUUUUCAAAAGAUCCCAAAUAAUGAGAUUUGACCCAAAUACUAGAAAAAAGUAGUAUUUGGAAAUUUGAGAUAUUUGUCAAAAAUAUUUGCCAAAUAAUGGCAAAUUGUAUGGACGAACACUAUUUGCCAAAUUUUUCGCCAAAUAUUAAUUGGGAAAUCUAUGGCCAAACGGGCCCAUAGAGUUAGGCACCACGUGGGGGCAGUGCACCAACCCAAUCAACAGGGGCGGCUCUACAGCUUUGCAAAAAAAGCAAUUGGCUUAGUCCCCAAAAUUUGAGGGGCCUCAUUUUUAAAAAAAAUAAUAGGUUAUAAGUAUUUUUUUUUUAAAAAAAUAUCGAGUAUUAUUUGUAGAAAAUAAAAACUUUUUAUAAAAGAGCAAAGAAGUAAUAGAAGUUUGACAAAUUAUGAAUAUUAUGUCUCAAGAAAGAUUAAAUAAUUGACAAUAAUAAACUUCAUAAAAAAUAUAUAUUCAAAUUUAAGGCCUCUAUUCGAAUUUGUCUUUAGGCCACCGAUUUAUUAGAGCCGCCCUUGCCAAUCAAUUAAGAUAAAUAUUUAAAUAAAUUUCCUAACACAUAAAUGAUUUGGAUCAAAAUUAUUUAAUUCUAUUGAACUCAAAAGUAUAUCCCUGCUUAUUAAUGAUAAAAUGUGAAGAUUCUUCCAUAUUUCCAUACUUAUUAGUAGGGCCAACUUAACCCAUAGGCCACUAAAGUCAUCGCUUGGGGCUUCAUAUAUUUUGGGGCCUCAUAUAUUUUGGGGCCCCCAUUUUUAAAAACAAUUACUUAUAUAUGUUAUUUGAAAAUAAUAAUUAUAUGUACUAUGAGUGUUAUGAUUUCUACUAAGGAAAUUGCAUAUGAGAUAAAAAUAAACUGAAUUUCGUAAGAAACAAUUUGAUGAAAAUGUGGAUAGCGAAAUCACAAAAUCCCUUGAAGAACCUUUUAGAAUUGAUUGUUUUAUAUAUGUAAAGUAGAUCAAACUAUUUUUUCACUUCAAAAUAGAUUUGAACCAAUUGAAACAUAUGGAAAUAUUUUUGAUUUCUUAUUUAGUGGUAAAAUAUUGAGAUCACUAGAUGAUGAGAAUUAAAAAAAAAUUGUCUUAACCUUGAACUUUCUUUAUCAUGUGUUAGUUAUUAUGAUAUUGAUGGUUUAGAUUCAUUUUUUGAAUUAAAAGUGUUAAGGGAAAUAAUACAAGUAGAAGAUCGUGAUCUAAUAAAAAUUCUCAAUCAAAUAAAAAGACUUGAUUCUUUUCCAAAUACUCAUAUUGCUUAUAGAAUAAUGUUAACAGUUUCUAUAACUAUUGCCUCAGCCGAAAGAAGUUUUUUGUGAAAUUAAAAUUGAUUAAAUCUUCUUUAAGAUCAACAAUGUCUAAAGAGAGAUUGAAUGAAUUAGCUAUAUCAUCAUUUGAAAAGAAAUUAUUAAACCAAAUUGAUUAUAAUACAGUAUCUAAUGACUUCACAUCUAAAAUAGCUAGAAAAGUAGAUAUUAAAUAAAAGUAUAGAUGAUGAAAAAAAAUUAGGGCUCCUCUCUUAAGUUUUGCUUUAGGCCCCCAAUGUUGUUGAGUCGUCCCUGCUUAUUAGCCUGUCAUGAGAGCAAUUUCAGCAUAAAUUUUUUUUUCCAGAUACUUCAAAUCUGCACCUGAUAUACCAUUAAAAGUACCCGCUAGUUCUGAUUUGAGUUUUAACUUGAUGGAAUUUUUCAGGUAGAUCUGAAAGGGAAAGGAGAGGGUUGGGAAUCCGUGGAGAGAGAAGGAAGAUAAUGUUGACUAUGGUUAAAUGGUUGGUUUUAGCAAAUAAUCUGAACCGUCUAUUAAUUUGAGGGACACGUGUAGCAAAAAUUAACCCCCAACUGGAGGAACUGCUCCAAUGGAGGGGAGCCAAAUCCGACCUUCGACUCAAAAAUAUAAAUUUUCUUAAAGAGUAGAAACUUACCUCCCCCAUCUUUAAACAAUGCUGAUUUUCGAAUGAAUGUUUUCAAACUUUUUUGCACUUCAAAACUAUAGUCUGUGUUUGUAAUUGUCUCACUGCUUGUAGUGGGGAAAAACAUUUAAGUUGAGAGGUGGAGAUAAGCUGACAACAGCAAAAUCUGACGUGGAAUUUCUUAAAUUGCAUGUUACUUUCUCCGUCCCAAAUUAUUGGUCACGUUUCUCUUUUUAGGGUUAAACUACAUUCACUUAUAUCAAUUAAAAGUAUUUUUUUUUUUGUCAUAUUAAUUAGAGAAGAAUUGCAAUUUAUAGUGUUUUUUAAUAUAGUUUUUGAAUAUUAAAAUACCAAAUUGAUUUAAUAUAAUCAUAAUUAUUAAUCAAAUUAACUCUUAAGAAAUGAAACGCAACAAGAAUUUUGAGACGAAGGGAGUAUCGAAGACACAGUGGUUCAAUUUACUGAUUCAACUUCCUAUUAUUUGUCUUAGCUGUCCACUAUUGGUCAUUAAUUUACGUUACUUUUUUUCCUUUUAAUCUUCCAUUUAAUUUGUCUUUUUAAUACUCACUGCUUUUAUUUCCUAUCUUUGUUUAAAAUGGAUUAGCUUUUUAGCACGCGCUUUACGUAUGUACUUCAUAUUAAUGCGUAUAUAAUUUUAUGAAAGCUACAUAUAUUACAAAAUGAUGCAAUUGAGUUAUCACAUUUUUAUUUUUAUUUUUGUUAGUUACUAAACAUAAAUAAAUCAAAUAAUAAGAUUAGACUAGUUAAACUUAAAAUGUGCAAUUUUGAUAAUUCAACACUUUUAGCCAUGGUUAACUUACACCAAUUGACAAACAAAUAGUGGAUUCAACAACAAUUUGUCUUUCACUAACUUAAAAGUCUUGAAUUUAAUAUUUUGUUCUCCAAAAAGGCCAAUUCAAAGUCUGUUAACCAUGAUAAUAAUUUUGAAAGAAUAUUUGAGAACCCAAAAAGGCCAAAGAAAUUAGUACACAUUAGAUAUGACAAAGGAAGCAUCCUUUUUGGAUAAACUCUCUAAAUUAUUAGAUGAGUGUACCAAAGGUCCCUUUUUUCAAUUUCCUAUAUAUAAAAAUGAGUGAAAAGAACUAGAAAAGGAAACAAAAUUCAAUUGAAAUUCAAACGCAAUAGUAGUUUGUUGUACAAAUCAAUGACUUAGAGGAUGAUCAUCAUAGUUAGAGAAUAAUAGAGGCAUAAGAGAUUCAUUAUCAUCAUUUACAAUUUGAACAAAGAAAAGUGAUAAGAGAAUUCUUAUCAUUAUAGUAUAUUUUUAGUAUUAUUGUUUACUAGUUAAUAACCAUAAGGUCUCAUACUACUUAAACCUCAACAAAGAAAAAGUAUUAAGUGAUAUUUUUCGAUUAUUUAUAUUAAUAAGAGAUGGAUUGCAUUCGUAGAAGAAAUCAAGAUGCAUGCAAGAUUCAAAUGUUUUUUUUUUUUUUACUUUCAAAUUUUGUGUCAAGUCAAAAUAAGAUGAGCAAAUUCAAACUCCUUGCUAAUUUUUUGUGCAGAAUUCAAUUUUUUAUUUUUUAUUUUGGAAAAGAGAGUUUUGAAGGUGAUUGAUUUCUCAACUUUUUGUCUUGUUGUAAACAACUUGAUGCCUCUAUAGGGUCACAAUUCACCACUAUCAUUGCAUUGCUCACCAUUGUGCUUUUUCACUCAAAGACAAUAUAUAUAAAAAUACAAAUUUUCCGUCAAUUGAUUUUGUAGUCUUUUAUCAAAUUAUUUCAAUUUUUACAUUUUUUUUUGUUAGGAAUUUUUAUAUCUAUACUUAAGAGAUCUUUGCGUGAUCUUUUGAGUGGAGAGGUUCGAAAUAGGAGAGUCGAAUUAUGAAUUCAAACAUAGGUUCUUUUAAAAAAUAAUAAUUAUAAGUCAUUUGAAUAAUUAAUAAUUCUAAGUAUUAAAGAAUUAUUAGGCAUACUUCACUAACAUAUAUAUUAUUAUUACUUAUACUUUCAAUAUAUUACGUAUUUUACCACUAAUUAAGAGUUUUUUUUUUACGUAUCUUACACUUAGAUACAUGUAUUUUGCUACCAGAUACACAAAAUAGGUAGAGAUGUUAGUGAGAUUGAGGAAGGAAGCGAACGAGAUUCGUGUAUCCAGACACAUGGGAGAGUGGCGAGCGAGAUGGGAGAGAGAAAAGGGAGGUGAGCGAGGAUUUCUAUGUAUCCAGAUACAUGCGAAUCUUCUUGGAUACAAUGUAUCUAGAACAAAUUACACAUAAAUUUGACCCCACAUAUACGAGAUACAUGUAUUUGGGCAUAUCUCUGGAGGCACCAAAAUCUGGUCAAAUACCACUACAACAAAAGCAACUUUUAACGACAAUAAAUAGACACAUUAAUAAAGAGUGCUAAAGUCUUUACCAACAUUAAUUAGUUAUGUGUCAUUAGAUUCAAUGUUGCUAAAGGCUCUAGGGACAUAUACAAAGAGUGCUAAUUGCCGUUAAAAAUACAUACUUAGUGGCAAUUGAGCUAUUGAUGUUAAUUAAUUACCGCUAAAAAUCUUUUUUUUUUAUAUAUAGUAUACGUAAUAUUGCAAACUAAAGUGUAUCUAAGUAAUUAACUUUUAAACUAGUGAAAUUUAUUUAAAUUCUCAAUGAGAUAUAUGGAUAUGAUUCUCAUUAUGGGCUUUUGUGCAAGAAUGUGGUACGAACUCUUGAUUUUAUGGGCCAAUUUAAUAGAACAAAAUAGCCCAACUUUAUGAAUGGCCCUGGGAAUUCACUUUCAAAUUGAAAUACUUAAUGGACAUCCUCAACAGGUUACUUAUAAAGGUCUAAUUCACUUCGUUGAGAUACCAAUUGUUGACACCCAAUUUUGGACCUCCACAAUAUAUAUUAAUCAUCGAGCUUCUUAAAUUCCAAACUAUUUGAAAUAAUUGAAUUUAUAAAAUUCAAAAUAUUUGCUAAGUUAUUUUAAAUAGUUUUGUCACAUUUUAUUAUUUUUAAAUAAUAUAUAUGUUUUAAAUAAUUAUGUAUAUAAUUAGUAUAUUUUAUGAAUAUUCGAAAUUCGUCUCAAAAGGAUUUUAGUUUUAGUUAAAUAUCUUGUCAACUAAUUUGGUUUAAGUAAUAGUUUAUAUUUUUAAAUUAAUUAAGUUAAUUAUUUUAUUUUGUUAAGAUUAGGAAGCUCGUUAAUGAAUACUAAUUUAUUUUAUAUAAUCUUUAGUCGGAUUCACUAAUAAAAUUCAAUUUGGCUAGAUUGUUAAUUUAUUUGCCUAACCUUUUAUUUGCAACUUUAGCCAUUAAUUUCCUCACCCCAAACCCAUUUGGGACAAACCAUUUUUGGGUCUUCCUUUAAAUUUCCAGCAGCCCAUCUCCUUCCCAGCCCAAAACUUUCAGCCCACUAUCUCACACCAUACAACAAACAACUCCAACCCACUUUCCAAUUUUCAGCUACCCGGCCCAAGCCCAUUUUUUUUUUAACAAAAUAUCCAGCAACACAACAAUACAAUACACAGCAGCAACAAACCCACUCAAAAACAGUACCCCACCGCCCAACUUCAUCUUCCUCGCUGAAAAUCAGCAAUCAACAGCCGCGACCCCACUGCCCAUAGCGUCUUCUUCACGCAGAAAUCCCGGCAAACCCGAAAAUCCAGCAGUAAAUUCCGGCGCGACAGUGUCCGCCCAUACGUAUGUCACCCUCACGUCCAAUCGUCCCCAUUUUCCCCAUGUUUCGAGGUUUCAGAGCAACAACAACUCUCUAUUGCUUUUACUGUUGCCUCGAAAAGGAACGGGGGAUUCAAAAUUCAAAUGGAUUUUACCCAAAAAUCAACCCUAUUCUGGACUUUAUUUAAGAUCCCUUUCUCGUUGUGUCUAAAAAGGGAGACGGUUUUUAGGGCUUGUUCUUUGACAAUACAUUCAAGAAAUUUUAAAACGAUUUUUCUAAUUCUAGGUUCUAAGAAAGGUUUCGUCUGAAGUUACUUAGAAAUUCUUGGUUUGCUACUUGAGUCGAAGGUGUGCGAGAAGUCCUCUUGCCAGUCGUCUCCAGUAUCGCUGCUCCGAAAAAGGUAAUACCCCCUUCCCUACGAACUUCACUAUUCGUUUUCCAAUGGUUUGCAACUCAUUUUGGUUAAUGAAGUUUCUUGGUUCUUAUUAAUAUGAGGUUCUCCUUGUACAUGAUUUUAAUAAAAGUACUUCAACUUUAUGAAUAUGUUAGGCAGUAGGUACUUACAUUGUACACUUCUUCCUGGAUUUAACUCGUGUGAUAGGAGCUUAGGAUGAAUAGGGUAAAAUCUGAAAUCUUGACUAAUAGAUGCCCUUCGUUCACUUAUUGAGAUGUAUGCUCCGUCAUGUGUGAAUUUAAUUAAAAAAGAUUGUACGUUGUUAGUUAACAUUGAUAUGAUCUUCACAUCCGAACUAAGUACGUCCGUAUCUUCAACAUGUGUUGAUUGAGUUUUUUUUUUUUUUCUUCUAUAAUGUUCCAGUAAGCUAUUUGUAUUUAAAUUGGAAUUUUACACUUGUUAGGGGUUGGGUUGUCUUAUUAUUAUUUUUUUUACCUUGUAUUGAUUCAAUCACUAAGCUAAAGACUUUUGACCCCCCUCCAUGCCCUUAGUGUUAAAUGUAUAUAGAUAUUUGGGUUAUGAAAAAAAAAAAAAGAAUGUACAGUAUUUGAUAUUAUCUCCACCAUUUUAUUUUCUUCAAAAUCAUAUGUUAAUUCCUUCACACAUAUAUACCAAAUUAUGAUUAGCUGUAGAGAGUAAAAUGUUGGACUUCUAAUGUGAAAAUUGAAUAUGGACUGAUUUGGUAUUCACAUGAUUUAUUUUGGUCUUGUUCCAGUGAAGAAAAUAGUAAGAAUUAAUGCUCCUACUUGUUUAAUUUGUUUUCGUCAUUUAAUUGUCUCUUAAUUUUAAGUCCAAUAGGUAGUGUAGCACUAAAUUACAAUUGAUUCUUGGUGCUCUACAAUUCAUUUCUCUUGUUGCAUUGUUCUUUUUCUAUCUUGGGCAGUAAGAUCAUGAUAAUGACUUCAUGGAUGAUGUGUUGUUUUAUUUUUUAACAUUUGUACAAGUAUAGACACUAAUCCUCUUCUUUGUUUUUUUUCUCUUCUUCUUUGUUAUAUGUGACAUCAAAUCUGAGUUCUCUUUUGACUCCACCCUUGCAUAUCGAUGAAUUAUUUCGAGUCAGCCUCAUCUUGUUCGAGUUGCUGGAAAGUUAAAUUACAGGUCCCGAAAAGUCGAAAGUGGGUUGUAUACAUGUUGUAUACAGCGGUAUACGCUGAUAUUCAGGCCCAAAACAUAAAAACACAGGGCUGAGGCGGAAUAUAUACGUUUGGAAGCAAGAAAUACCUGAAAAGAGCUAAUAUAUGCGCUCAUAUACACUGAUAUACAUCCACCGUAUACCAAAAACGGGAUUAGGGUUAAACCAAAAAUUACCAACGAAUUUGGCCCAAAAGGAGGCCCAAAUUCAUUUUCUCCCUUACUCUUUAAUUAUAUAAUUGUGAUUAUUUAUUGUUUAUUGUUUAACUCUAACUUUAUAAUCGCAAAUCAACUUAGUCGAAUUCCCCAAAAGACGAACUAUCUCUCUGUGUUGUUUUGUUUCUAACAAAAAUCUUAUUUUUAUCAACUUUUGUAUUUUCAUUUAUAAUCUUUAGUCAUUUUUUUUUAUUUAGUUUAAAAAUAGUUUUUUUUUUUCAUAAACCAAAAAAUGACUCGAAUAAAAACCAACUAAUUUAGUUUCGCUAAAAUUCUUAUUACUUGUCUCUAAAUCAAAUAUUUCAAUUAAGGUCCCAUUUUUCCUAAAAGAUAAAAUCGCUCUUUGUUUAACUAUUUUUUCAAAGUUAAUCUAGUAGUGUAAAUAAAUAAAUACUUACUUAGUUAUUUUCUCAAAAAGGUUAGUCAAUCAAUUCAAAAAUGAUUUUUCAUACUUUAAUUUAUUAAAUUGGUUUAAUAUAUUUUAAAAUGAACUAAAUAAAUUCUAAUUAGUCUAGUUUUUUUUUUUAUUUAAUUUUCUAAUCACUUGCACUUUAAUUCAAAUAUUUCCCUUUUAGGUCUCUUCCUCUAAAAAGAUAGAAUAAAAUGGUUCAUUCCUUAGUUAUUUUUCAAACUUAAUCAAAUAGUGUAAAUUAUUAUAUAUUUUUAUGUUAAAUUAUUUUUUCUAAAAAUAGUCAAAUAUAUUUUAGUCAAGUCGCAGGUCAACCGCAUGUUAGCGGACACUUCGAAUGCUUAAACCCUUCUCGAAGUGUAAAUUGAACCCCGAACCCUCUUUGGUAUUUUCAAAUGAUUUUUCUGUUUAAAUCUUUGAAAAUUAUAAGUUUUCUUAAUUCCUUUAAAAAAUUAAGUGGCGACUCUUUUCUAAGUAUUUUUCUCAAAUUGUUUUAUACUUAGAACAUUUCAAAAAAGUGAUUUUUCUGAAUAUAGUAAAAUUACGACACAACAACAAGUAUUUGUAAAAACUUAAUGUAUUAAUAUAUUAAACAAGAUAAAGUAUAACAAUUUAGCAUAUGAACACGAUAAUUUGAAAAAUGAAUACAUUGUUGUUAAACAAAAAUGAAUACACCAGUAUAGUAUACAUAUGAAUACAUUGUUGUUAAACAAAAGAUGGAUAUGUUUGACAAUACAUAAACAAAAAAAAAUGAAAAAUAAUAGAAUGUGUAGGUAGCAAAAGUGUGCAAGUAUUCGGCUGUAUAAAAAAAUGAAAAAAACCAACAAACGUCAAUCUCUUUUUGGUCAAGUUUUUCUUAUAAUACUUGAGGCUUGGUGUUGACUCAUGUAUUUGUUUAUAAAAAAAUAGUAUUAAUGUAUCCAAUUAUACUUGUAUUGCCUAAUUAACCUUUCAAAUUCGAUAGAUUACUUAUGUAUCCAAAUAUACUUGUAUUCACAAAUCACCAUUUCAACUUGUGUUAAUAUUAGAAUACAAGUAUCUAUGUAUAUAACUAUUCUACUAUAUACAAAUUUGACAAUCACACAAACCUCAAUCUCUUUUUGCUCAUGUUCUUCUUGUACUACUUUUUUCUUAUAACUAUAGCCAUUGUAAUGUAGAAACAAAUAAUUCUUCAAUCGAAAGCCUAUAAAAAUAGAUGCAAUAUAUAUGUAUACAAAUAUGAUCUUCAUAAAAACGAGGAGAAAAUCAAUUAAGCGAUAUCUGAUGAAUUCAAAUUACAAAANNNNNNNNNNNNNNNNNNNNNNNNNNNNNNNNNNNNNNNNNNNNNNNNNNNNNNNNNNNNNNNNNNNNNNNNNNNNNNNNNNNNNNNNNNNNNNNNNNNNNNNNNNNNNNNNNNNNNNNNNNNNNNNNNNNNNNNNNNNNNNNNNNNNNNNNNNNNNNNNNNNNNNNNNNNNNNNNNNNNNNNNNNNNNNNNNNNNNNNNNNNNNNNNNNNNNNNNNNNNNNNNNNNNNNNNNNNNNNNNNNNNNNNNNNNNNNNNNNNNNNNNNNNNNNNNNUAUUCUACUAUAUACAAAUUUGACAAUCAAACAAACCUCAAUCUCUCUUUGCUCAUGUUCUUCUUCUAUUUUUUUUUACAACUAUAGCCAUUAUAAUGGAGAAACAAAUAAUUCUUCAAUUGAAACCUUAUAAAAGUAGAUAAAAAUAUAAAUGUAUACAAAUAUAAUUUUUCAUAAAAACGAGGAAAAAAUUCUAUUAGAAGAUAUUUCUUUUCCUCAAAGACAGAACCAAUGGUCUAUUUUAUUAAACAAAAGGAAAUGAUACAGACUUGGUUUCAGCCCAAGUCAAAACAAAAAAAAGAAGAAGAACCAAACGUAACAAGAUAGCAAAGACAAAAUAAAAUAAAAAAGACAAAAGCUUUAAACAACCAUCGGAGAAAUGAGAGGUCACUGGAGAAGAUGAUGAAUUCAAAUCACAAAAAAUGAUCCUAGAGUUAUGUAAAAGAAUCUUAAAUUGGAAGGAAUUUGUGGGGGAAAUAUAGAAAAUUUGUGAUAAAGAGAUAUUGAUGAAAGAGAGUAUUAAUGAGGGUAAAUAUGGGGACCAAUCACAUAAAACGUGCCUAGCAUAACUAAUUAUGUGUGUAAUAAUAACUUUCCUAUUUAAUAUUUAAUAAUUUCCUAUUUAUUUAUAUAUAAUUAACUUUGCUAUUUAUUGUGUAAUUAUAUCCAUAUAACAUAAAAAAAAUUGUAGCUAUUUAUCUUUAAUGUAUAUUGAUGUUUGCCAUAUUCUGUAGUUUUUCCUUUUAAUUUAAAUAUGUUACGUAAUUUUGGGAGACAUUAAUUUUGGUGCUUUACUUUACGAAGAAGCAUUAAUCAUGCUAAGAAUAACAAUAAUUUCUGAAUAUUAGUGGUUAGUCAAUCAUGCUACAACUAGGAUAAUAUAUUUAGAUUUCAUUGUUCUUUCUUAUCGUCGAUUGAUUUGAAUAAGAUUGCAUGAGAAUAAAGUAUCAAAUAAGGUGUAUACAGAGACAUCAUUAUCAAAUCAAACAUGUUUGAACUUCAAGAGAUCACAUGUCGAACUUGUGGCGUUUCAAGAAGGUUUCAAAAUGUUUGAUAAUAGAUUUUUAUGCAAUCUUUCAGAACCUUCAAUAAAUUAAAUUCAUUAUACAAUUUAUAUUUUAACAUGAUAAUUAUUCCCUAUUAAUCUUCGUAUUGAAUCAAACACUAUCACAUAAAUUAAAAUAACUUAGAAUUUGGCUAUAGAUCAACAAAGUUAUUAAGCCGCCCCUCACUUUGUAGUUAUGGAUUUUGAGUUUGGUCCCUCACUACCCACCUUGACAUUAAACUUCUACCUAAAGUAAAAGAAUCCCGCAUUUUUUUAGUACUAAUGAUGUUGACCUUUGUCUUUUCUAUAUCAUCGCUAUCAAUUUGGUUUUAUUUAUUAAUUUACUAAAUAUAUAAUUAUGGACCAAUUACUAUUAAAUAUUAAUUUCAGAUUGAUGAUGAAUUCAUAAACUUCAAAUCUUGGAUUCGUUUCUUGAAAUUAUUUGAUCUUUCCUAAACUAUCAAAAAGGUCACAGGGUUAGACCUUCAAUGUGUGACCUAGUAGUCAAUAAAUUGAGUUAAAAACCAGGAGUUGUAAUGGAGACAAUAAUAAAAAAAAACUAUGUGAUUUAAUUUCUUCUCAUAUAUAUGUUGAAGACUUACUUGGUGCAUGUGUUGAUAAGAGAUAACAUAUACCUUUAAAAUUGAUUGAGAUACAUGCACAUUAACCGACACACCACAACUAAUCAUUUUCCACUUGCAACUUUUCUAAUUAGUCCAUUAUUUUAUGUGUCAACUAUGUUCAACUAUCUUCAUUUACACCCUUUUGUAGAAGACAAAAAAGUGGAAAGGAUUUAUGAUUACAAAUUAAAUUUAAUGUCAAAUUAAAGAUUGAAUGCCUACAUAUAGCUGGCACCAUGUGGGGGUAGUACACCAACCCAACCAAUUUAGAUAAAUAUUUAAAUAAAUUUCCUAACACAUAUAAAUAAUUAUUUGGAUCAAAACUGUUUAAUUUUACAGAACUCGAAAGGUACCUCCCUUAUUAAUGAUAAAAUGUAAAGAUUCUUUUCCUCCCUUGCUAGUAUUAUAAUUUAACAUGUUAUAACAAAUUAAUCAUCAAUUACUCUAUCAAGUUGUUAUGCUUAUCAUCAUAAAAUUUACCUGUAAUUGAUUAUGUAGAUCUAGAAAAAACAAUUAAAAUUAAUGUGUUUUGGUAUUAAUAUUGAUUGUUUCCUCCAUCUUUAAUCAGAGGUCUUGAGUUUAAAUUCUUGUAAAAAUGAAAAAAUCUUGUUGGAAGGGUUAUUCCCACAAAUAAAAUUUAAUCCACUUCGAUGUAAAUAUCGAACAUCGAAUGAGAAAUCAAAAGAGAAUAUAUUUGCUUGGUAUGAAAGGGAAGACCAUCAAAGGCAGUACAUGCAAAUAAUUGAGAUAAUAUAUAUAUAGUCAGCAAUUCUAGUGGCUGCCAAUUUAGAUGAUAUCAUGAAUUUUUGAUGUUUCAUUCAUACUAGUAUAUAUUUUCAUUAAAGCUACACUCUUUUCACUCCACACAAAAUCCAUUUUCUUCAAGUAUCAACCAUGGGGGGUGAAAAGGUAUGAAUUCACUAAUUUUCUGUAUUCGAAAAAGACUUUGAUCGAUCUAUCUAUAGCUAUAUGACGUUUGAUCAAGAAUUUAAUACAUAUGAUUGAUUAUAUAAUCGCACUUAUAUAGAUUCUGAAUUUUUGUUCUCCUAUUGUAUCUUUUCACUUCCACAAAUACAAAAUAAUUUAGUUCAUUCUUGCAUAAUAUUGUUCACAAAUCUUUUCUAUUAAGAGCUUUGAUUAAUUGUGUGCUUACAAUUACUUUAAUUUAUUGUUUAAUUAUCAGACCGCUAUCAUGGUACUCAAGGUUGAUCUUCAAUGUUCAAACUGCUACAAAAAGGUCAAAAAAAUUCUCUGUAAAUUCCCUCGUAAGUUUCUUUUUUCUUGAAUUCUUCAAUAUUAUUAUAACAUGAAUAAGAAUUAAUUUGAUUUUUUUCCUUUUUUUUUUCGUGUCAAUUUUUUUUUGGGAAUAGAAAUUAGAGACCAAGUAUAUGAUGAGAAGGGCAAUACAGUCACAAUCACUGUGGUUUGUUGUAAUCCUGAAAAACUUCGUGACAAAUUGUGUAGUAAAGGAUGUGGAGUAAUCGAAAGCAUUGAAAUCAAAGACCCCAAAAAGCCCAUAAAAACUAAUGUUGACAUCAUUGAAAAGCCUACAGAGUCCGAAAAACCUAAGGUUGUCAUCAUUGAAAAGCCUGAGGUUGUUAUCAUUGAAAAACCUAAAGAAAUCAUAAAGCCCGAAGAAGUUCCUAAACCUACACUAGUUGCUCUCGUAAUGCCAAUACUAAUUCAAGAAUACCCACAACCGCCACACGGAUAUUGUUGUGGACAAUGCUAUGAAGGCCAAAUCGGGGGCCCAUGUUAUCUAGGGUAUGGAAGACAGCCUAGGCCUGGGCCUUAUGGCUAUGGUACGGGUUGUUAUGUGAGCAGAUGUGAUCAGUACUUGAAUGAUGAAAAUGCUAAUGGUUGCUCAAUUACGUAAGGUGGCCCAAUUGUUAUGGUUCAAUGUCUGGGCUCAUCAAUGUGGGCUUCUAUUAGUGUGGUUGUCUUGUUUUCUUUACAAAUUGUUAUAAAUAAUAAACAAUGUAUAGUUAAUUUUCUUUUGUAAAAUAGAAUAAAAGUUGUUAACUAGAUUGUUGGCAAAGCCUUGAUUGAUUAAUAAAUGCCAUUUUUCAACAUUACUAGUGGUCUAAUUUCUCAAAAAAUUUAACAAGUUCAAUUGAAAAUCCUUCUAAUUCCAAUUUGUGUACCACUCAACGAAGAUACUUAAGUUUCCACAUAAAAUAAGUUAUAAGAUUGUUAUUUUGGUUGGAGAAAAAAAAGUAUUGUACGACUAAUUAAGCCUAAUUGUUCUAGAAUUAGAGUUAUAAGUCUUCAAUAUUUGGGAUUUUUUUUUUUUGAAAAACAACUCUUGGUUUGAUGUUUCAUUCUUUUGGCUCUCCAACGCAAUCGGUUAGGAAGUUAAUUAUUGUUGAAACUAUGACAAUAAGAAAUACAUUACAAACUAUGGUUUGUAAAGGAUAAUAUGGGAAAUUUCCUUUCUUAUCAUAUGCUAAAGAUAUGAGGGGAUUUUCUUCGUGGCUCGAGAGAUGGAAUACAUAGGACCCCUCAAGUUUGAAAUAAUUCGUUGAGAAAUUCACAUGAAAAGGAACGAGAAAUUUUCAACUUAAAAAGUCCUAUCUAAACCGAACAUGCAAUUAGUUUUCCAUCAGACAACUUCACAUUUGAGAUCGCUAAAUGCUCGAGAGUUCCUCUAUUUAAUCAUUUUCCUUCUUUUUGUUACUGAAUAUCUCAUUCAUACACAACUUUUCUUUAUUUCUCGGGCCUCAAGUGAGUCACAAACAGAACUCGAAAAGGUCAAAUCUUUGAUUCCGACCGAGAAGCACAAGCCAUUCAACAAGGAGAUUCUCAAAUUGCAGAAGCUUGAUUCGAUCAAGCCUCUAGAAUUGUGAUAACUUCUGAAUAGGUAUCCAACGUCUGAACCGAAUUCACAAUGAUAUUAAAGGAACUAAAUUUGUCUAGAAAAAAAUAAUAGGGAAUCCACAUUUACUUGAAAUAGUUUUCAAAUGACUAUUUCAAAAGUGUAGGGGGUAAAUUGUUCAUAAUCCUAAACUUUUAAGGGGCAAUAUGUCAAUCCUUUUUUAUCAAUUUCACCUCUUCCACCAUAGUUGAUAAGGCGGGCAGCAACGCUAAAGCUUUGCUCCAAGAAAAUGGCGUCUACUCCAAGCUCUACACUUUCUCCUCUCUAUGAAUCCAAUAUCUUCUGCAACUUCAAUUCUCCCCAAAAAUUCACUUUUCCCCUCAAACUUUACUCCAAAUCUUGUAUCCGAACGACCCAAGUGUCACUUCAAGAACAAUCCCAGGUAUCAAAUCCCAAUAAUUCUCAAUACUCAGAUAGAAAAGCUGUUUCUUCGUCAAAAAGCAAGCUUUGGGUCAACCCCAAAAGCCCCCGAGCUUCUGAGCUGAAGCGGAAGUCUUACGAUUUCAGGUAUGCUUCUCUAAUGAAAGUGGCUGAGUCUUUGGAUUCUUGUAAACCUGUAGAAGAAGAUGUUUUUAAUGUUUUAGCUGAUUUGGGUGACAAAAUAGUAGAGCAAGAUGCUGUUGUGACUUUGAAUAACAUGACUAAUGCUGAAACUGCGUUGCUGGCGAUGAAGUAUUUUCAACAAAGGUUGAAAUUGAGCAAAG